rnacentral:rRNA from 1 species
ACGGGAGGCAGCAGUGGGGAAUAUUGCACAAUGGGGGAAACCCUGAUGCAGCGACGCCGCGUGAGUGAAGAAGUAUUUCGGUAUGUAAAGCUCUAUCAGCAGGGAAGAAAAUGACGGUACCUGACUAAGAAGCCCCGGCUAACUACGUGCCAGCAGCCGCGGUAAUACGUAGGGGGCAAGCGUUAUCCGGAUUUACUGGGUGUAAAGGGAGCGUAGACGGCGAUGCAAGUCUGAUGUGAAAUCCAUGGGCUCAACUCAUGAACUGCAUUUGAAACUGUAUCUCUUGAGUGCUGGAGAGGUAGAUGGAAUUCCUUGUGUAGCGGUGAAAUGCGUAGAUAUAAGGAAGAACACCAGUGGCGAAGGCGAUCUACUGGACAGUAACUGACGCUGAGGCGCGAAAGCGUGGGGAGCAAACAGGAUUAGAUACCCUGGUA